rnacentral:lncRNA from 1 species
AUGAAUACUGUAGAAUCAGAUAGUAUAUUAUCCGCAUCCGAUAUAUUUAGAAACGAAUAUGUUUAAAAACGAAUAUUAGAAUACCUUCUAUAUAUUAUCUGUGCAUAGUAAAUAUUUGCGAAUAAUAACUAACGGUAACAGAUUUUAUCCACGGGUACUCGAACCAGCAAUUCUUUUUCUAUCCCUAGGUAAGAGUAAGGGGUAGAGUAUAAUAUGAAAUCGUCUUUGACUAUAAAAUAUUUAACCCUAAAUUGAUUGUAUAUUAUAUUAUAGGUGCAUAAUAUUUCCAAACAAGUUUAAACUCAUUCAUUUCCGGUUUUGCUUUUGAGCAACUUACUGAGGUUUGGAAGGAUCAACCCUUUUAAAACCGUGCAGCACAAAAGGGAAAGAGAGAAGGAUAAGAAUCCUAUGGUUGAAAAAAAUAAAAGGAGAAAUUGAGAAAAAGAAGAAAGAGAUUCUGAGGUAGUAUAAGAUAAAGAGUUAUUAAUUAUUACCUUUGGAUUUGAGGACAAAAAGAGCUCCUGCAUCAACAUCAUCAUGUUGGUGGUGAAGUUGAUGAACACCGUUUGGGUUCUCAGGUUUUUCAUCAGGAAACAGAGUUCCCAUCCUGUUUCUUCUGAGUGAAGGCCUUAACAGAAGAACAGAGCAAUUCAGAGCAGAGUAUAUAACACCAUAUGCAUAUGUGUGUGUAUAUAUAAAUAUAUAGCAGAAGCUCUGAGUAUUUUUACAGAAAAAGCAGUGUGAAUUUUGAUCAGAAUAGAUGUCAGUGAUGCUACUUUUAUAGACGCCUUGUGCAGUAUGCAAUGAACUAGACUUGGAAAUAGAAGAUAUAUGACCUAAGCCUAGUUCAGAUGAAAAUGCAACAAGACAAAUGCUAAUAAGAGAAACUAUUUCGAUAACAUUUAUGGUAAGAUUUUGUUAAA